CGCCGCGCACCGCUCUCGCCGCGAGGUGGCGCGCUGCCGCCCGCCCCGAGGUGGGCCGGGCGCGGUGCUGCUGCUCGGGUUGUGGGCUCAGUUGGGCGGGCGGGGUUGUGAGGUGUUCAGCCGGCCUGAGGGAGAAAGGGGGAUUUCCCAAGUUAACGCGCUUUUUAAGUGUGGAAGCACAGAAGUGAAGGGGCGUCACGAGGCGGUGUGAAGAGCUUGUGGAAGGGUUGAUCCAAAUCUCACUGUAUCCCUCUCCAAGAUGAUCGGGCCCAGUGCUGGCAGGACCUGCAGCAGACUGGGGGAUUGCAGCAUACAUAUGUGAGGACUUCCUGCACCAGGGGCACCCCAGGGGAGUGCAGAGACCCACUGGGAGCUGGCGGUUCUGGUGAGAAGAACUGAGAAGACUCCAGUGGGGCCAGGAGCAGUGGCCAUCGUUCUCUGCGUGUGCAGAAGACAGCCCCAGGGACUGUGGCGAUCGGCACAUAGCGGGUCUGAUAGAGCCAAACAACUUUUAUCUAAUUCUGCUCAUUCAAGCUGGAUCACAGAAGGCUUUAACAAGGAGACUGCAAAACAUUAAAAGGGACUUUACAUCUCUUGGAAGGAUGUAGAAGAGAUUGGGAGUGUAAGUAGUGUUGUCUUCUGUCCUUCUGAUGGAGGCUGGCACCUGGGAAGGAGGAGAACAGGACAAGCGAAUGAUUGGCUGUGUGGAUGGUGCUAUACAUGGGGCUGUGGCUUCCAUGAUCUUCGACAGGCCUUUGAGGUGCUGAGCAUGUUGACUUCAAAUGAGACACAACUGACUGGGUGGGACAAGAAUGUUCUGGGAAACAAGCUGUCUGGGCUGAUCAGCAGAACUUAAAACUAGAUUCGAUGGGGAAAGGAGGUGGAUUUCAAAAUGACAAAGGAAGACUGGCGAACGCUGUCACUUUAGAAGGCAGUGGAGAUGGACUUCAGAUUUGUCCCCAAGGAACUCAGGAGGGCUCCCUGAAGAAGCUAAUACUGCUGAUUGUCUGGAUGAUGUGCCUCUAUACCAGUGCCAGCAGCAUGGGAAAUAAUCAGGAGGAGCUGGAAGACAUGGCACAACGGAAAAACUUACCUAGUUGCUAUCAAGGAAAUGUGGAAUGAAUUGCACAGCUGGAGCACAGUGAUCAAGGCCUGCAAGCUUUUUAGGAGAAAUACAGGGGGAUGGAGGGGCAGGGGAGUUGCUCUCUGCGUUAAGAAGUGGAUAGAUUGAAAAGAGCUGCCUUUGAAAAACAGCCAUGAUCAGAUGGAGAGCUCGUGGGCAACAGCAGGAACUGGUCCAUUGAAGGCCAUCUGGUGAUUGGGGUCUACUACAGGUUGCCCCAUCAAGGGGAGCUUGAGCACAAGGCCUUCUUGCUACAAAAGGCUCUCAUCCUGAUGGGAGAUUUCAACCACUCAGAUGUCUGCUGGGGAAACAACAUGAUGGGCUGCAAGUGAUUCAGGAGACUCCUGAAGUGCAUGGAUGAAUAUCAGGGACUGGUCCAACAAAGGACAUCUGAUGUUAAGGGGUCUACUACAGGCUGUGUGAUCAAGGGUAGCCUGUGGAUAAGGCCUUCUUGCUUCAGAUACAGGAAGCAUUGUAUUCACAGGCUUUCAUCCUCAUGGGGAAUUUCAGCCAUCCAGAUGUCUGCUGGGAAAGAAGCACAGUGGGUUGCAGACAAUCCAGGAGACUCUUGAAGUGUGUUGAUGAUAACUUCCUGGUCCGGGUAUUAUACAAAUUGACCUGAGGGGAAGCGUUAAAAGAUCUGUUGCUCACCAGUGUAGAGGAGAUCAUUGAGGAGGUUAAGAUAGAAGGCAGUCUGGGCUAUAUUGACCAUGCCUUGGUUGAAUUUGUGAUCUUGAGGAAUAUGGGCCUGGAGAAAAGCAAACUCAGGGCCUGAACUUGAGGAGAGAGAACUUCUGGCAGUUUAAGGAAUUAUUAGAUGAGAUCCCUUGGAAAGCUGUUGGAGUAGAGCUGGCAGCUCUUUUAAGGACACGUUUUUGAAAUCACAAGAACUCAGUAUAGGAAAACAAAAAGAGAAAGCAGGAGACUGGUAGGGCUGAGCAAGGACCUACUGGUCAAACUAAGGGAAAACAGGAACUCUCUCUUGAACUGUCUUUCUUGAACAGGGGUGCCAAAAUCUGCACACAGUACUGCAGAAUUGGCCUCACCAGAGCAGAGUAGAGGGGGAGGAUCACCUCCCUUGACCUGCUCACCACACUCUUUUUAAAGCACCCCAGGAUACCGUUAGCCUUCUGUGUCACAAGGGCACACUGCUGGACUAUGAUCAAGCUGCUGUUCACCAGUACACUCACAUCCUUCUCUGCAGAGUUCCUUUCUAUCAGAUCAGCCCCUAAUCUGUACUAGUGUGUAGAGUUAUUUCUCCCCAUGUGUAGGACUCUACACUUGCCCUUGUUGAACCUCAUAAGGUUCCUUUCUGCACAACUGUCCAGCCUGUCCAGGUCUCACAGAAUAGCAACACAGCCUUCUGGUGUGUCAGCCACUCCUAGCUUUGUAUCACCAGCAAACUUGCUGAGGGUGCACUUUAUCCCUUCAUCUAUGUCCCUUAUGAAGAUGUUAAACAAGACCAGAUGCAGUUCUGACUCCCGGGGAACACUGUUAGCUACAGGUUUCCAACUAAGACUCUGUCACUGAUCACAACUCUCUGAGCUGUACCAGUAAGCCAGUUCUCAAUCCACCUCACUGUCCAUUCAUCUGUCCCACAGUUCCUAAGCUUACCUAUGAGGAUGUAGUGGAAGACAGCAUCAAAAGCCUCGAUGAUGUCAAAGUUGACAACAUCCGGUGUUCUCUGCUCAUCUAUCCAGCUGGUCAUGGCAUCAUAUAAGGCUACCAGACUGAUCAAGCAUAAUUUCCCCUUGGAGAAUCCAUGCUCACUACUCCCGAUGACUUUCUUCUCUUCCACUUAGAAAGGCUUGGAUUCCAUGCUUGAAGAUGACAUCCAGAAUAGCCAAGAACAACUGAGCAGAGAGCGGCAUUUCUGGGAAGAGGCAUCAGAAACUACAACAGAUACGAAGAGCUUGAUUCUCAAGAUAAUUCCUCUUCACUUGAUGAAUCCCAGGCAAGCCAAAAGGUUGGACAACCAAGAUGUCUACUCAUCCAUGCUAAACUUCAGAGAGAUCCCUCUAGUUUCUCCUGAUACCUUUGCAUUUCAUUCAGUAUGGCGUGUUGUAGAAGUGAGACUCAAACCCUGGCUUUCCUGUGCCCACAACAUUGUUACUGGAGGAGCUGGAUUCACUGAAUGGCAGAUGUCACCACAUGGACCUUCCCCACGUCACUCUCCAUCUACACCUCUGAACAUGAGAGGGGAGUGUAUCCCAUUUAGGCCACCUUCACUGGACCUGAAGUAAGGUGAGAGAGUCUGUGGGCUCUUCAUGCCCCUGCCAGAAACGUGCCUUCUAACUGGUCUCUUGAUGCCUCACCUGCAGCUGAGGCACCUGCCGCUGAGCACCUGGAGAUGCAUUCCGGCCAAGAGACUGAACACCCAAAACUAUCCAUUAGCAUUUUCCAUGAAGAGAUAAGCUCUGCUCUCUGUUGGAGUUUCACUGUAGUAGCUAGGGGUUUGGGAGACCUGGCUUUGUUUCUGGCUCUGUCAUUCAUCUUCUGCAUGGCCUUGGCAAGUCCUUUCUCUUUUCUGUGCCUGCCUUUGCCCACAUACUCCUCUUCUGAACUAAUGGCGGUACUGUGGCUGUUUGAAUCUGUGUUGUGUGAGUAAAUAAACAGUAACUGUAGAAAGGUUUGAUUUUUUUAAAAAGAUGCUGCUUGGCAAGAUCUAACGUUAACCGAAGAUGGAAAAGGUGUGGUAUCUUGAAGUUUUUCCACCUCUACUCUCUGCUUACCUUCAGUGGAAAGUUGAUUUUCAUCAGCUGAGGAACAGAAACGAGUCCCAGCCUGCUAGCACAACCACAGUGUUAGUUAGGAAUAGUCUGAAACACAUGCAGGGAGUGAAAAUAAACCCCAGCUUAUCUGUACACUGACUUUAGACAAUAAGAGUAGCUGUGGACCAGACAUCUACUGAAAGGUGUCCUGGAGCAGAAGGCAAAGUUUCCCUUCUAAACAGCUUACUUUUGCCAUCCAGGUCCUGGAAACACUCAGCUAUUUGUAAGCAUAGAAUUUUCUCUGCAAAACACUGAUGCUUUGGGGUAGGCUGAGUACUCUGCAUUGAAAUCCAGGAUACAAUGCAGUCAGUGGGUGGCCCCAGACAACUUUGAAUGGGCUUUGGAAUAGGGCCCAAGCAUAUCACAAAGAAAGGGAGAAGGAAGCUUUGCUUUAGCCAAAUCUCUGAGCAUGUGCUUCACCACUGAAAUUAGUAAGAAUUAAGCAUAUACUUAAGUAUUCUGCUGACACUUACCUUAACCACCGAGUAACAAAUACUGUCUUGCAGAGACUCUGCUUAAAAGAGAAAAAUGCCUUUUACGUGUCAAAGAGGGACAUAACAUUUAAAAUGGCAUUUCAAAUUUCUUUUAUUUUUUAGUGACAUAGCAAAAGCAGUAUUUGGCCCUGUGCUGCUUGGAACGAGGACAUUUCAAAUUAUUACCAACUGCAGCUUCUCUCUGCAUCAUUUUGCAUUAUGCAGUUUAAUGGCUGCCUGCUAGAAAGGCAUCUUCUCUGCUUCAGUCAUCUAACAGGAUUUUUGGCAUCCAGCUCAUCAGAUGGGUUAUUUUCUUUAACCAUAUUCCUGUAGGACUGCAUCUUUUAAGCAUCCUGCUGCGUUAUUUUGGCACAACCUUUAUAUCUCUUCAUCUUAUUGUUUCUGGAAUUCCUUUUCUCUUUGUAUCAAGUGAUGUUGCUGUGUGUGCUUUUUCUAACAAAUCUUGGUGGAAGAUCAGAAAAACAAACAAACAAAAAAGGCUAAUGUAUCCUAAGGAUUGAUAAUUUCAGGGUCAAAAGAGAUUUUAAGUGCUGAUCUUCUUGCACCCGCUGAUGAAUCUUUCCGACCAAGAAGCUGGUGUAUCGUAUCUAGCUGGCAGCACACAGAACACAUUAGGAAAACAAAGAGAAUGUGAGAUUAAGCCGAAAACAGGCAAGAGAGGCAUUUUCUCACUGUUCUGCAUGAAGGCAGAAGAUGCUUCAAGAGGAUACAACCUCGGUUUUCUUGUUGGAACUAUGGCCUCUUCCCCCCAUCAGAUUAUUCAAAGGCAACAUCACUGAAGUCAAGUGAGAACAGGACACUGCUGAAGUCUGCUGAGCCGUUCUGGUCUGGAAUAACCUGUCAACAGGAACACAGAGGGAAAAUCCUAAUGGCACUAAGUUACUCCUGACAAGUGGAUCAGCACCCACGGACAGCCACAUGCUGUGUUGCGAAGACCAGCUCUGGUGUCCCAAGAACAAGUGAGCUUGGCACAGCCUCGAGGAGCACUGUCAGCAGCUACAGCAAAGGUCGGUCAGCCCCUGGUUGUGGGACUUUACUUGGAGAAAGAGAGAGAGAGAAAAUGACAGGAGAGGGAUGAACUUCCCAGUGACCAGCAAAUGGCUGAGCAGUGAGCAUGUACUGCUGGGUGGAAGGAAACUGGAAAAGCAAGGAGUUAUCGAAUUAUCAGUGCAUUUGGAGACUGAAUAUUCAUAGCUGCUUUUCUCCACUUGAGAUGCUCAGAGAAGGGACUGGGUUUCCAGGAGAGCUCCUUUGGGGCUGCGUAGUGUCUGCCACAAACUUUUGGAAAAUGUGGGCCACAAAACACAAGGCAGCAUGUAUAGAGAGCUGUAAUUUGGGAAAGUGAAGACCUGGACCUACUUCUUCUGUCCCUCCUUAAAAGGUAUUCUGUUGAUUGUGAGAUUUGGACAUUGCUUCUAAAAGAAUAAAGUUUCAAAAAUGGCAACAACAAAAAAAGGCAUCUACAAAGAGGUGACAACAGAACUAUUAAUUUCUUUGUACUUAGGGAAGAAAAGAUUUUUCCCUAAUAGGACCCACAACGGCAAUGUGGAAACUGUUUCUGUUAGCUGGAGCACUUCUUCAUAUGUCCUCUAUAGGGAGUGGGUCAAAAACGGCGAGCAUCAGCAGACCCUUAGAGCAGACUCUUCUUCUGUCCUUUCUGUGCCCACUAUGCAAUUACUCAGCUACAGUCUGACAUCUACAGUCACAAAGACCCAGGCUGUCUGCCUGUUUAGUGCUAUAUAAGUGCUGCUAAAAUACCUGUGGACUGGCUGUCAAGGAGAAAACUUCCAGAUCGUAGUAAAGAGCUUCUUUCCAUGCAAGACAUUACUGUAAAAGAUUAAAUUCCCACCGAUAUUAUUAAGCAGGAGGUUCCAGCUCUUUGCAUUUCUUCAUGCAGUUCAAAACCAGCGAUGAACCUAGUAUAUUUUGGUGUUCCCUCUGCACAGGAAUGUUCGCAUGGCUUACUGGGACUAAUUCCUUGGCAAGGAAUGAAUUCAGACUAAUGUCCCCAGGGAGCAAGGGAUUUUCCUCCAUUGCCUUUAUUUAGAAAGAAGCAUAGAAAAAUGUUGAAGAUGCAUGCAGUGAUAAACCACAGAGUAAACAAGAGAUAGAAAGAGAGGUUGGGAAAAAACAGCAUGGCUGGAGUACUGGUGUAAUCAGAAGACAGAAAGAGCUGAUAGCGUGGUUGGCUGUGCAUGUGGGUGCACAUGCGUGAGAGGGAACCUGUAAUUUCUCUGCUUCCUCACCUCUCAUCCAAAAUAAAAGAUUUUGCUUGUGCUAUUUGCGGGCAUAAUGCUGCACACCUCCUGCUCUCCAUGAGAGAAGUGGUGCAGGAAUUGGCCCUUACUUUUGUCACAUGCACAUGGGUGACACGAAUCCAUCCUUGAGCAUGUCUGCAUCCUUUGUCUCUCCGGACAUCACCUGUAGCACCUGGCAGAAGCAUGUUGAGCGCAAUGCAGGCAGUGCCUUGCGAGUGUGGAAGAGCAGUUUGAAACACUGAAUGGAUAAACUGAACUCUUCUGAUCUAGACAGACCUUUCUGAUCUAGUCACGAGGAGGUAUGGUACUUCUUUGUGCGAAAGUACUGCUCACAUAAUGUGAAUAGGAAUUGCGUGUGUUUGCACCAAGAGAAUAAUAUACCCCUAUGGAAACCACAGAUGGGCCUAAAACUUUUCACUGCAUCACCACUGUUACUUCCAGAAGUCUAAUUGUCCUCCAAAGCUUGGAAUUUCUUUCAUACGUAGGUACCAUUGAGCAGGAUGUACUUAAGUAGGAUGUACUUAAUACUUAGGUACAGUGAAACAGCAGGACUAGGUAGGUGGCUCAAAAUUCAGUCCAGAGGAUAUUUUGUCUCUGUGUGAUGCUUGGGUGUGAUGAUCAAAGCUCAGGCCUAUGACAAGGUGCUUUCACAGCCUGUCUGGAAGUUGACAGGACAAAAAUAUGGACACUUUAGCCCUCCAAAGGUGUGAAUUCAGUAGGUGUUUGACUAGAAACUGUGGAAAUGCCAUGCCAUUUAGUAACAAUAGGAACUUUUCUAGAAUAGGAUCAUCCAGAGGGUUUUAAAUCAAUUUGGCUUGACCUCUUCAGUAGAUGUCCAUCUCCCUGUUCAAUCUAAUACUUGAUCCAUAAGAGUGAUUCCUUACCCAGGAGCAAGAGUCAUAGUAUGAAUUUCCUAACCAGGCUAGAUAACAGUUAACACAGGAGUCUUUGUACUCUACAUUCUCUUUCUGCUGACCCUAAUCCCUGUCCCUGCAGUAAGGCUGGCCAAUCAAGCCCAGCACUUGCAGCUGAAUAUGGCACUACAGAAAAGGUAAUUCAAAGCCACAGUCAUACAAAAGGCGAAAGAAACUGCUUGGUUAACCAUUUUACCUCUAGGUACUAGCUUUGCCCUCUCCUCCGUGUCAAGCAAUGGUGAGACCUCUCCUAUUUCCAUAUAGCACCUUUCCCCCAUUUAGAUUAGGCCAUUCUUGAACCUCGUCAUCUUUUUUUUUUUCUUUUAGUCUCCUGAAGCCUCCUUUUAUGUGCAAUGAGGGUACCUCCCAUAUUUGUUACACAAACAUUUAUUGGCCUUAUGGUGCCUACAGAAAUUGCAAACUAGAAGUUCACUGACUGUAAGAAAAAACAUCAAAUUUAUGAGAAUUUUCAGGCUAGCCUCAUGAUUCUGAC
ensembl:lncRNA